CAAAAUGACGUCGUUUUAGGCAGGCCUUUUAGGUACCAAAUCGUCGUCAUUUUCCCCCUAGGAUCCCCAUGUGGACCCGACCUGCCAGUGAGGAUUAGCGUGUUGGGACUAAUUGCACCUUUAGCCCUUCCGCUUUUUAAUGUUUUUGCAAUUAAGUUCUUUUUAUUUUUAAUUUUUACCCCAUACUUUAUUUCGAUCACAUUUUAGUUCUUAUGGGAACGACGUCGUUUUGGAGAAGAAGGGAGAAUUCCUCUAUUAGUCCCUCCAUGUUAUUCACGUGUUCAGAUAAGUCCUCCCCUUUCUUUGUUAUUUCAAAUUUGCCCAAAUUUCUAUUUAAAAGUUUAAUUUAGUCCCUUCUUUUUUGUUAUUUUUCUAUUCCAUUAUUAAAUUAAUUAAUUUAAUAUUAUUUUCAUUAUUAUUAUUGUAUAGGCCCAAAUCUGCCCAGGGCAUGUACAAACAUAAACUAAAUAAUAAUAAAACCAAAUUUUUUUAAUAGUCCAAGUCCCUUUAUUACACCAGCCCUAAUCGGCCCAAAAUAAUUACAAGGACCCAAAUUAAUCCUAGCCCAAUAUUACACAACAGAGUAGGCCCAAAUGGCCCGAGAGUUUGGCAUUCACAGAAACCCUAGGGUCCCCCUCGAUGCGCCGCAAUAGCCUUCAGCCUCCAAGCACUGUAUGACCUCCAGCACACCUCCGUACGCCCCACGCCGAGUGCCACGUACCACCAUAGCUAGCCUCGUACCUCCAUACAUGCAAACAAACAAGAGAACGACAACAAACACGAAGGAAAAUUUGUAUUUUUUUUAUUUAUUCUUUCGGAUUCCGGCUAUAAAGCCAAGAACUUCUUCAUUGUAUUUUUUUUACGCAUAUUGAAAUAUGCAUAUUAAAUAGUAGAAAAAGAGAAAUCAAAAAAUUAUCGAAAGGUGAUUUCAAAUCCUAUUUCUUUUUUUCCCCCUUUUCUUUCGAUUUGCUUGUAAUUUUUUAGCAUGGAAAAUGAAAAGAAUGCUUGAAACAACACCGAUGAAAUUUUUUUUACGCAUAUUGAAAUACGCAUAUUAAAUAGCAGAAAAAAAGAAAUCAAAAAAUUAUCGAAAGGUGACCUAUUUCUUUUUUUUCCCUCCUUUUCUUUCGAUUUGCUUGUAAUUUUUUAGCAUGGAAAAUGAAAAGAAUGCUUGAAACAACACCGAUGAAAGCCCAUAUGUCUCAGAAAUAUGGUGACUCGGGCUAGGGUUGUUUUCUUUUGCUUUUUUGUCAGAUUUCGCUUUGUUUUUUGACAGAAUAGUAUAGGAUUUUAAGGGUUUUUUUUUCAAAAAAAGGGAGAGAAAAAGGAGUACACUUACCGAACCUCUGUGGGCGAGGCUUUCUUUGGCAAGAUCGGGUCCUGCUCGUGCACUAUCGGCCAUCAAAUCGAAUGGUGGGUUCGGCGGUUGCUAAAUGAAACCCUAGCAGAAUUCAACGUUCAUUUCAAUUAAAAGGGCUGCUAUGUUAAAAGGAGAAAAUAAGGGAGAAGGGUUUUAAAAGCAGAUUUGAAAAACGGUGCCGUUUAAGGGCAGGGAGAUCCGCGUGUCGACCCAUUCCCACACCCGGAUCCAUGCCUCUGCUCUUCAAAUGGGAAAUUUGUGCGGUUAAUCCCCCCCUUUUGCGCCGCAUCUCAGUUGACUCCUAUUGGCAUCCUAUCUUUUUUUAAAAUUUUCCCCAAAAGUCUGUGCGCUAUUUCAUUUUAGUCAGCGCUUGUGUGCUGCGUUUUGG
rnacentral:lncRNA from 1 species